GAACGUUAUUAGUAGGAAAUGGCUAAUAAGUGACGGUACCGUUACCAGAAAGGGACGGCUAACUACGUGCCAGCAGCCGCGGUAAUACGUAGGUCCCGAGCGUUAUCCGGAAUUAUUGGGCGUAAAGGGCACGUAGGCGGACAAAUAAGUUUGAUGUCAAAUAUGAUGGCUCAACCAUCAAGAGGCGUUGAAAACUGUUUAUCUAGAAUCUCGGAGAGGUAAGUGGAAUUCCAUGUGUAGCGGUGGAAUGCGUAGAUAUAUGGAGGAACACCAAUGGCGAAGGCAGCUUACUGGACGAAGAUUGACGCUGAGGUGCGAAAGCGUGGGUAGCAAACAGGAUUAGAUACCCUGGUAG
rnacentral:rRNA from 1 species